UGAAGGAAAAAAAGAAAGAGAAUAAAACAACAUGUGUGCAGCUGUUAUAGGACUCUAUACAGUAAUACAAACUUGAUUCCAGAUAGCUGAAAAGAUAGCAUUCCUGAAAUUAACUAAAAUGAACAAAGGCAGAGUGCCUGAAAUUGCAGCUUGGGGAACAAUGUGAACAAUUCCUUGGGACUCAAGAAGUGAGAAACAACUGUGAAAAAUGUUUUGAGGGCAGCUUUCCUGUGGGCUCAUUUCUCCACCUCAGCAAUUCCACAUCUCUAUGAGAGCCGCAAGGACAUUGUGCCCUAAAAACCAGAGGGAGGAUUCAACUGGCAAAUUAAGACUGUAUUAACUAAAUAAGUGAGUACCCACAAGCUUAAUUUCUGAUAGAGAUUUGGGGCAGGAUCCAGUUGCCAAAAACCAUGCCUCUAGUGCCAUUUGAGACACUUUCAGACAUCCAGAAGUUUUGUAGACGUAGGUCAGAUGUUCAAUAGUUGUAGCAUCGUAGUCUCUAGUUUUCAUACUGUGUUUUACCUGUAUUUAGCAGAUAGAUAACAUUUCUUUCUACCAUCAGCAUACAGCUGAAUUAGUUGCCUCAGCUUCACAUAUAUUUUGCUAAGAACAUGUGAGUUGUAGUUGAUUAUUGAUCAUGUCUAUGUGAAUUUCAUUUCAUUCCAGAAAGACUCCCUCCUCCAUUGAAUGUCACAGCCAACUGUACUAGCAAUCCAGGAGGUUGCAUAAUUACAUGGCAACAACCCCUUCUAAGUCAUGUGGAAAACGCAGAUUGUUUUGAGUAUGAAAUAAACAUACAAAACAAGGACAAGAUCCCAGAAGAGAAAAAAGAUCCUCCCUUAAUCGUAACUAUUCUUAUUUCAACAAAUUUGUUCUUUUGCCUGUUUAUCAUGUAAAUCACUGUAAUAUAGAAUAUAGCUGUCUCUGGAACUGUAGCUUUUCCAUCAACAAAAGAAAUUAGGAAUAUAUUUUCCCAUGGCAGCAUCAUGUGUCUUAAUAUUUCCCUUUUGGAUGGGAACAGGGAGAACUUUCCUUGCAUUUCAGAAAAGGUCACACUUUCCAUUAAUUUCACAAAUAGAUUUUAAGAGAGUUGUUGGCUUUUUUUCUUCUUCAAUAAAAAUUGGAAAUAUUCUUUUCAUUGUGUCUUUUUCUGGACAAAUAACACUGUAGUUCAGGACAGAGAGAUGGGAGGAACAUUGAGAUCUUCAAAAUGAAUGAAACCCUUGCAAAUGGGCAGUUCUCAGCCUUGCAAGCAUCGUCGACUGCCUCCAGGCUCUGCAUAAAGCACCACAAGGCCUGACAAUCCAUACCUGGUGUUGGAUUAUCUCAAAGGCAUCAACUCUAUUUGACAAAAAGAGACUCUAUUCAGGGAAGUCUUUGCAUGAUUUGCUUCUCCAGUUUCAGCUUUCUGUCCUGUUUUAUAUUUGUUAGGGUAUAUACAUGACAAAGAAAACAAGAUAUCCUUAACAGAAAAAAUUUAAGUAGCAACAAAUUCCAAAAAACAUCUUUAAAUUCCAAAAGUCAGUGGUAGGAUGAACUAAUGGGUAACAAGGUUUAACAUUUGGGGGAAAGAUCAUCUAACCCUUUACCUGCAAAGUCAUAAAAAUAAGUUUCAUUUGCAGAAUUUGUAUCAGGAAAUUAUAACUCAAAUUUUAUUAAUAGUUGCCGAUGGAGUGAAUUACAGCUUCUAACUCUGAUUGCAGGUAGCUGAAAACAAAUAUGAAUUCAAAAGUUACAACGCAGAAAAAAAAAGCAUUCUGAAAAUCAGAGCACGUGGAAAAAGAAGAUGUUCUGUAAACAGAAAGUGGGGGGAAUGGAGUGACCUUAUAGAGUUCGGUGGAGAGAAAGAUUACUUUAUUUCUGUGAUUUUACUUCUGAUAGCACUCGGAACAAUCCUAGUGACGCUGCUCCAUUAUUGCCUUUGCAAGAGGUAUUGCAGUUCAAAAAGAAUAUUUCCUCCUAUCCCACAACCAAGAGGCAAAUUUGAUGUGACAGCUGAGGAAGAUAUCCAGACAGAGAAUGUGCUUCUAUCUCAAAAAAGUUGUACUGAGGAAAUAACUGUGAUUGAAGAGAUGACCUAAUCUUCCAGAAGGAAAACAGAUUUGGAUGCAACACAAAAAAAAUCACCCAACCUCCUAAUAAUUUCCAAUUAUUUACGGUGUUCUUCACAGCAUGGACUAGAAACGAGCAUCAAUGAAACUAUUUCACCACAUUAAAAAAAAAAAAAGUUUACUUUUCCUUUUGUUCAGAAGCAAUGCCUGGCAACCAAGCUCCUCCAAAAACGCGUGCUGUGAAGAUUUGCUUAAAAGUUGCUGAGAUUCUUUUCACCAUCUAAGACAAAGCCCUUCAUCAACAACAUAACAGAAAUGUGGUAUAAUUUCUUCUGUUCAUUGCUGGAGAAAUUAUUUCCUGAAUUAGGAGUAGUGCUACAGAAAAUCAAAAUGCUAUUUCCCCAACUUAACAUUUUAUAUAUAUACACUCCAAGAAUUUUCUGGAGCAGAAAGUAGCUAAAAGUUGCUUUCUGCCUUGUAACCCUGAUACCAAACGUUUAAAAUAUGAACCUUAUGCA